rnacentral:rRNA from 1 species
GAACGGUAACAGGUCUUCGGACGGUGACGAGUGGCGAACGGGUGAGUAAUACAUCGGAACGUGCCCAGUCGUGGGGGAUAACUACUCGAAAGAGUAGCUAAUACCGCAUACGAUCUGAGGAUGAAAGCGGGGGACCUUCGGGCCUCGCGCGAUUGGAGCGGCCGAUGGCAGAUUAGGUAGUUGGUGGGAUAAAAGCUUACCAAGCCGACGAUCUGUAGCUGGUUUGAGAGGACGACCAGCCACACUGGGACUGAGACACGGCCCAGACUCCUACGGGAGGCAGCAGUGGGGAAUUUUGGACAAUGGGCGAAAGCCUGAUCCAGCAAUGCCGCGUGCAGGAUGAAGGCCUUCGGGUUGUAAACUGCUUUUGUACGGAACGAAAAAGCUUCUCCUAAUACGAGAGGCCCAUGACGGUACCGUAAGAAUAAGCACCGGC